AGGAUUUCCGGGAAACGCUCAGCACAGGGGCUCGUGUCUCAUGCUGCCACAAUGUUUCUAUGGAAACUACUUUGGGUUGCUAAGUUAGAAUCCUUCAGCACGCCGCUUCGAGUGCGCAUGCGCAGUGCAGCCUGGACUUUCUACCAUCAUGGCGGCCUCCACUCUUGGUGUGCAGCGUGUGCUUGGGAAAGGCAUAAUCCCUCCUUUGGUCGUGAUUUUAGGGGCAACGGGAACUGGAAAGUCCAAAUUAGCGCUCGAGAUCGGGAAACGACUUCAAGGGGAAAUAAUAAGCGCCGAUUCGAUGCAGGUUUAUGAGGGACUGGACAUCAUCACCAAUAAAGUGACAGCGGAGGAGCAGGCGGAGUGUCCGCAUCACAUGAUCAGCUUUGUGGAUCCUCUGGUGAGCAGCUACACAGUGGUGGACUUCAGGAACAAAGCACUGUCUCUCAUUGAGGACAUACAUCGGCGGAGAAAACUCCCAAUCAUUGUUGGUGGCACAAACUACUACAUCGAAUCCAUUUUAUGGAAAGUUCUUGUUGACACAGUGGAGCAUGGGAUUGAGAAAUUUCAGAGUGGGUCCUCUGUUCUAAAAGCUGAGCUGGAGAAGUUAGGAGGUCCUGAACUUCACAAACGUUUGCAGGAUGUUGACCCUGAAAUGGCAGCCAUGUUACACCCCAACGAUGCACGCAAGAUUGCAAGGAGUCUUCAGGUUUACCAGGAGACGGGAGUUAAGCACAGUCAUCUGCUAAAGGAGCAGAAAGAGCAAGACGGGGCAGAUGGUCUUGGAGGUCCUCUGCGUUUCUUAAAUCCCUGCAUAUUUUGGCUCCACUCCAACAUGGAUGCUUUAGAUAAGAGGCUGGACAAACGUGUGGAUGAGAUGCUAUCUUUAGGGCUGAUUAAAGAACUGAAAGAUUUCCACCAGCGCUUUAACGAGAAGAAAAUCCAGGACAACAGUCAGGACUACCAGCAUGGCAUCUUCCAGUCUAUUGGGUUUAAGGAGUUCCAUGACUACCUCACUGCCAGAGAAGACCUCAGCCAGGAGGACCAUGAGAAGCUGAAGAUUAAAGGUAUUGAGGCCCUGAAGCAGGCAACACGGCGUUACGCUCGAAAGCAGAACAAAUGGGUUCGCAAUCGCUUCCUCAAAAUGGGUCUAAGUGAGGGAGAUGUUUGUCUGCUGCACUGCUACACACUCAGUAGUUUCUGCGCUACUGGAGUACACUGCAAACGUCACAGCAACCAAGGGAGCAGGAGCUACCUGUCAUGCUUCCUGUUAAUGCUUUGCUUUUACAGAAUAAGGGCCAGGUACCAGUGUUCCACCUGUUUAUGGCCUAGAUGUGACAAAUGUGUCCCUUUGGGAACAAACAGUCCUCACUCCUGCCCUAGACAUCCUGGACAGCUUGUGCAAGGGAGAACGGCCAUCUGUUGAGCCAAUCAGAAUUGAGGGGGAGGGACUACGGAACAAACGGAGCCACCACAUGUGUGAACUGUGUGAUAAAGUCAUCAUCGGUGACCUGGAGUGGACAGCUCAUGUGAAGUCUAAAAGCCAUCAGCAUCACAUCCGGAAGAAGCGCAAAGCUGAGGGUGUUGGGUCUGACCUUCCUUCUACUGCAAAGUGGCAGAGACAGGCAGCUUCUACUCCUCACACACCAGGCUCGGAAUCAGACUCGAACCAGGAACACACAGGAAUAACACGUGUUUACGAAAAGCAGAUGUCUAAGGAGUCGUAAGCUGAGCGAUUAAGCAAAAGGAUUUUUAUUUUACAGCUUGUGCCUUAAAUUGAUGACUUCAGGAGUGAGGAAGACCUUCAUGGAAUAAUAGUGGCUUUGGCGUCUGCACAGAUAACAAGUUCACUUUGUUUGCCUCUUUAUCCGGACUAAGCCAUUUCAGUCCUGUUGUUGGAGUAAGACGGUAUCCACAUUGCAUUGGGUGAAACUUCUCCAUGACAUUGUGGAAGUUCUCAUGAAGAUUGUUGUUGGAUGAAGAACAGUUUCUGUGAUUUUACACAGAAAACAAAAGUUUUUUAGUCUUUUUCUGGUUUCACAAAGGCCAAAGUAGACUUUCUUUUAGAAAUAUUCUUGCACAAAUGUUUGGUCCUGCUGUCGAGUUUAAUUUGAAUCUAUAAUCUAAAUCACUUUUGUCGUUUUGUAAUUAAAUUGCGCUACUAUUUUAA